rnacentral:rRNA from 1 species
UACGGAGGAUGCGAGCGUUAUCCGGAUUUAUUGGGUUUAAAGGGUGCGUAGGCGGGAUGCCAAGUCAGCGGUAAAAAUGCGGUGCUCAACGCCGUCGAGCCGUUGAAACUGGCGAUCUUGAGUGGAAGAGAAGUAUGCGGAAUGCGUGGUGUAGCGGUGAAAUGCAUAGAUAUCACGCAGAACCCCGAUUGCGAAGGCAGCAUGCCGGCUUCCGACUGACGCUGAAGCACGAAAGCGUGGGGAUCGAACAGG